rnacentral:rRNA from 1 species
AUUGAACGCUGGCGGCAGGCUUAACACAUGCAAGUCGAGCGGAGAUGAGGUGCUUGCACCUUAUCUCAGCGGCGGACGGGUGAGUAAUGCUUAGGAAUCUGCCUAUUAGUGGGGGACAACAUUCCGAAAGGAAUGCUAAUACCGCAUACGCCCUACGGGGGAAAGCAGGGGAUCUUCGGACCUUGCGCUAAUAGAUGAGCCUAAGUCGGAUUAGCUAGUUGGUGGGGUAAAGGCCUACCAAGGCGACGAUCUGUAGCGGGUCUGAGAGGAUGAUCCGCCAAACUGGGACGGGAACACGGCCCAGACUCCUACGGGAGGCAGCAUUGGGGAAUAUUGGACAAUGGGCUGAAGCCUGAUCCAGCCAUGCCGCGUGUGUGAAGAAGGCCUUUUGGUUGUAAAGCACUUUAAGCGAGGAGGAGGCUACCUGGAUUAAUACUCUAGGAUAGUGGACGUUACUCGCAGAAUAAGCACCGGCUAACUCUGUGCCAGCCGCCGCCGUAACAC